CCUACGGGAGGCAGCAGUGGGGAAUUUUGGACAAUGGGCGAAAGCCUGAUCCAGCAAUGCCGCGUGAGUGAAGAAGGCCUUCGGGUUGUAAAGCUCUUUUGUCAGGGAAGAAACGGUGUUUUCUAAUACAGAAUGCUAAUGACGGUACCUGAAGAAUAAGCACCGGCUAACUACGUGCCAGCAGCCGCGGUAAUACGUAGGGUGCAAGCGUUAAUCGGAAUUACUGGGCGUAAAGCGUGCGCAGGCGGUUUUGUAAGUCUGACGUGAAAUCCCCGGGCUCAACCUGGGAAUUGCGUUGGAGACUGCAAGGCUAGAGUUUGGCAGAGGGGGGUAGAAUUCCACGUGUAGCAGUGAAAUGCGUAGAUAUGUGGAGGAACACCGAUGGCGAAGGCAGCCCCCUGGGUCAAGACUGACGCUCAUGCACGAAAGCGUGGGGAGCAAACAGGGUUAGAUACCCUGGUAGUCCACGCCCUAAACGAUGUCUACUAGUUGUCGGGUCUUAAUUGACUUGGUAACGCAGCUAACGCGUGAAGUAGACCGCCUGGGGAAGUACGGUCGCAAGNUUAAAACNCAAAGGAAUUGAGNGNGAGACGNGCGACGACGACGACGAGGGAGGAGG
rnacentral:rRNA from 1 species